GGGCGCGCCCCGGGCGGGGCGGGGGCACGGGGGGAACGCGAAGAACCUUACCUACUCUUGACAUCCAGAGAAUUCGCUAGAGAUAGCUUAGUGCCUUCGGGAACUCUGAGACAGGUGCUGCAUGGCUGUCGUCAGCUCGUGUUGUGAAAUGUUGGGUUAAGUCCCGCAACGAGCGCAACCCUUAUCCUUUGUUGCCAGCACGUAAUGGUGGGAACUCAAAGGAGACUGCCGGUGAUAAACCGGAGGAAGGUGGGGAUGACGUCAAGUCAUCAUGGCCCUUACGAGUAGGGCUACACACGUGCUACAAUGGCGUAUACAAAGAGAAGCGAACUCGCGAGAGCCAGCGGACCUCAUAAAGUACAUCGUAGUCCGGAUCGGAGUCUGCAACUCGACUCCGUGAAGUCGGAAUCGCUAGUAAUC
rnacentral:rRNA from 1 species